UGGGGAAUAUUGCACAAUGGGCGCAAGCCUGAUGCAGCCAUGCCGCGUGUAUGAAGAAGGCCUUCGGGGUGUAAAGUACUUUCAGCGGGGAGGAAGGUGUUGAGGUUAAUAACCUCAGCAAUUGACGUUACCCGCAGAAGAAGCACCGGCUAACUCCGUGCCAGCAGCCGCGGUAAUACGGAGGGUGCAAGCGUUAAUCGGAAUUACUGGGCGUAAAGCGCACGCAGGCGGUCUGUCAAGUCGGAUGUGAAAUCCCCGGGCUCAACCUGGGAACUGCAUUCGAAACUGGCAGGCUAGAGUCUUGUAGAGGGGGGUAGAAUUCCAGGUGUAGCGGUGAAAUGCGUAGAGAUCUGGAGGAAUACCGGUGGCGAAGGCGGCCCCCUGGACAAAGACUGACGCUCAGGUGCGAAAGCGUGGGGAGCAAACA
rnacentral:rRNA from 1 species